UUGGGUUCACUUUUAGAUCUGAAAAUGGUGCUUCUUUUUGAUUGAGCAUUGUUUAUAAGUUGAAUCCUAAAGUAAAUGUUCCCCUCGCUAUCCGGUGUAUGUUUUAAUACUGCAUUUGGACGUUGGGAAACUACAUUU